rnacentral:rRNA from 1 species
CAGUCGCCACGGGAAUACGUAGGUGGCAAGCGUUGUCCGGAAUUAUUGGGCGUAAAGGGCGCGCAGGCGGCUUCUUAAGUCUGUCUUAAAAGUGCGGGGCUUAACCCCGUGAUGGGAUGGAAACUGGGAAGCUCAGAGUAUCGGAGAGGAAAGCGGAAUUCCUAGUGUAGCGGUGAAAUGCGUAGAUAUUAGGAGGAACACUAGUGGCGAAAGCGGCUUUCUGGACGAAAACUGACGCUGAGGCGCGAAAGCCAGGGGAGCGAACGGGAUUAGAUACCCGCGUAGUCCCUGUCUCUUAUAC